rnacentral:rRNA from 1 species
UACGUAGGGGGCAAGCGUUGUCCGGAUUUAUUGGGCGUAAAGCGCUCGCAGGUGGUUCGUCGCGUCGUGCGUGAAAGACCCCGGCUCAACUGGGGGAGGUCGUGCGAUACGGGCGGGCUGGAGGCCAGUAGGGGGAUGCGGAAUUCCGGGUGUAGUGGUGGAAUGCGUAGAGAUCCGGAGGAACACCAGCGGCGAAGGCGGCAUCCUGGACUGGUCCUGACACUCAUGAGCGAAAGCGUGGGGAGCGAUCCGG